AUUGAACGCUGGCGGCAGGCUUUACACAUGCAAGUCGGACGAGUGGCGGACGGGUGAGUAAUGUCUCGGAAAGUAACGAGUAAUGGGGGAUAACUAAUGGAAAGGUUAGCUAAUACCGCAUAUUAUUCGAGCGGCCGAUAUGGGAUUAGCUAGUUGGUGGGGUAAAGGCCUACCAAGGCGACGAUCACUAGCGGGUCUGAGAGGAUGAUCAGCCACACUGGGACUGAGACACGGGCCAGACUCCUACGGGAGGCAGCAGUGGGGAAUUUUGGACAAUGGGCGCAAGCCUGAUCCAGCCAUGCCGCGUGUAUGAAGAAGGCCUUCGGGUUGUAAAGGACUUUUGUCAGGGAAGCGGUACCUGAAGAAUAAGCACCGGCUAACUACGUGCCAGCAGCCGCGGUAAUAC
rnacentral:rRNA from 1 species